UACGAAGGGUGCAAACGUUGCUCGGAAUCAUUGGGCGUAAAGCGCACGUAGGCGGCCUUGCAAGUCGGAUGUGAAAUCCCACGGCUCAACCGUGGACGUGCAUCCGAAACUGCUCGGCUCGAGUAUGGAAGAGGGUCGCGGAAUUCCCGGUGUAGAGGUGAAAUUCGUAGAUAUCGGGAGGAACACCAGUGGCGAAGGCGGCGACCUGGGCCAAUACUGACGCUGAGGCGCGAAAGCUAGGGGAGCAAACGGG
rnacentral:rRNA from 1 species